AUAGGCUUCGACUCUCAAUGCAUUUACGCCGUAGCCCCUCCAUCAGCACAGAGUGAAGUCGUCCAUCAGACUCUAGCUCCACCUUCCACAUGACUCCAUGUAGCUGGCCAUGCUACCCUCGCGCCCCGUCGACUUCAAGCACUCAUGUGUAUACUGCCUUGAAUCAACCCUGCGCCACAGUCUUGUCGAAGCCGCACAAGCCCUCAGACCUGCACGACGUGUUUCCACGCCCCAGAAGUUGGC
rnacentral:rRNA from 1 species